rnacentral:rRNA from 1 species
UACGUAGGGUGCGAGCGUUGUCCGGAGUUAUUGGGCGUAAAGGGCUCGUAGGCGGUUUGUCGCGUCGGGAGUGAAAACCUUGGGCUUAACUCAGGCUUGCUUUCGAUACGGGCAGACUAGAGGUAUGCAGGGGAGAACGGAAUUCCUGGUGUAGCGGUGAAAUGCGCAGAUAUCAGGAGGAACGCCGGCGGCGAAAGCGGCGCACUGGACCCUUUCUGACGCUGAGGCGCGAAAGCCAGGGGAGCAAACGGG